UGGCGCAAUUGGCUAGCGCGCAUCGUUUGGGACGAUGAGGCUGCGGGUUCAAGUCCCGC
rnacentral:tRNA from 1 species